GACCUCGGAAGGACAUUAUGAAUCGUCACAAGAGUUGUUGUGGUCCUCAAAACGAGGGCAUGUGCACGCUCUGUUUCACAUCCACUCACACCUGUGCACUUCCGUAGUUUAUAGUUGGGGAGGCCCUGGCCUUCCUUCUGUAGUCCUAUGUCUCUUCACACACACACAUCAGUGAUAAAGUCUCGUGGAAUGUAUGCUGCGUUUAACGCAAUACAAUACAACUUUCAGCAACGGAUCUCUUGGCUCUCGCAUCGAUGAAGAACGCAGCGAAAUGCGAUAAGUAAUGUGAAUUGCAGAAUUCAGUGAAUCAUCGAAUCUUUGAACGCACCUUGCGCCCUUUGGCUAUUCUGAAGGGCAUGCCUGUUUGAGCAUCAUAAACAUCUCAACUCUCAUGGUUUCCCAUGAUGAGAUUGGACUCUGGGGGUCUUGUUGGCUUAUGUUCAGCUCCCCUCAAAUCUAUUAGCUUUCCAGUGUUGGCGGCAUCGCGGGUGUGAUAAAAUCUACGCUUGUGGUUCUUUGCCAGGUCUGUCCUCUCCUUGGGAGGGCUCGCUGGAGCUCAUAGAUGUCUCUCCU
rnacentral:rRNA from 1 species